GACGAACUGUCCAAACGUUGUUCGGAAUCACUGGGCUUAAAGGGUGCGUAGGCGGUCUGGUAAGUCGGGGGUGAAAUCCUGCAGCUCAACUGCAGAAGUGCCUUCGAUACUGCCAGUCUGGAGGGAGAUAGGGGUGUGCGGAACUUCCAGUGGAGCGGUGGAAUGCGUUGAUAUUGGAAGGAACGCCGGAGGCGAAAGCGGCGCACUGGAUCUCUUCUGACGCUGAGGCACGAAAGCUAGGGGAGCAAACGGG
rnacentral:rRNA from 1 species